CAAGGACCUCUGGCGCGAGGCCGCUGUGAGUCCACAGGUUCAACCUCAAGUCGUCCACCAAAGCAGGGUUGUGAAUUCAGUCCUCAGCUCCUCCCGACACAAAAGUGUCCCUGGGCGAGACACAGAACCCCAUAUUCAUGACGAGUGAUAAUGGCACCCAGAGGCUGGACACGGGGGCAGCCAAGGAAGGAAGGAAGGAAAUGCCAAAUGCAGACAGGGAAGUUGGAGGAAAACUGUAAUGAUAAAGUGCAAACUCAAAGAGCAUAGAGCAAUCUGACAUAAAGGAGAAAUGUGGUAAUGUGUAGAAUACAGAUGAAUAAAACCCUGCUACUCUUUGUUACCUCACAAAAUGGAGGGAUUGAAGAUAAGUUUAAAGGCACAGCUGUGCAGUAGUAAAUACCAGUAAGGAGGUCAGUGAUUGAGUUAGAUUAUUGUGAGACAUUGUUUUGUUACGGCUGAUUCAAAAAGGUUAGACAAUGUAAUUUAAAAAAUACCCUGAUAUGUGCAGUAUGAAAGCAGGAGCAUAAAACUUACCAUACAGUGCUUUUAUCAAACGGCUCAGAGCCUGAAAUCAGCCAGAGGUCACGUUAUUCAUUAAGUAUAAUCAUUUUUUCCCCUUUUCAUCCAGUGCUGCUGCUGCAACAUGAAACCAGGGUUGUUCUUUUAAUUUCAGCAGGGGGCAGCAAAUCCCAAACUACCAUGACUGACCAGGUGAAAAAAAAUCUAAAAAAAAUAAUGCGUGUGUGCUUUUACAUGUGUGUUUGCACACACAUGCAGAAUAAAUAUGUUUUUAUGGGUGGGUGUGUAAACAUACAUGUACAUACAUUCUGGUCACGACAAUAUUUGUGUGCACAGGGAGCAAGUGUGUAUCUAAACUAAUGGUUUGCAUGCUCAGGGCACCUGACAUGACAUCAUUUAAUAUUACGUAUAUUUCAGCCGUGCAUGCUUGAUGCUGACAACCUUCUCUCCCCCGAAGAGCACAUUACAUAUGCCAUGCUCCGCACACGCAUGUAUUGAGUGUCUGUGCUUGGUAUGCAGGCACAGAGCCUUGUCAAAACAGAAUGAGAGACACCCGGAGAUUGGAUGGCCAGUGUUGGGAAAUGGAUGGGUGAAUUGAAAAGGCAAAAAAUCAGAGGCAAGAGCAGGAUGGGGGGGAAAGGAAAUGGAGAAGGAAGGGGCUGGAUUGAGAAUAAUCUUUUGAGUAAUAAAAGGAGGCAAAGCAGAGAAAAUGGUUUCCUGCACCUGGUGAGAGAGAGAAAGUGGAGAAGCUGGACAGAAAACUCUGAGGUCAGAAAGGGUAAUAAUGUUCAUUGUCCUUGGUAUGAAAUCAGUACACACUGCUCCCAACAGCAGCUGAGGAAAGAUACCAGCAGCAUUCGACUCCUGUUGUUUUUAGAGAAGAAUAUCAAAUUAAUAUAUAUGAAAUAUAUAUUUUGUGAAGAAUAAGUUAAUUAUUUAGA